AUCCCUAAGAGAGUGCUACAACGAUGGAGGGUUGUGCGGGUAGGCAAGGGCUCUGUGUUUAAGCCGGUGGCUUCUGGAGCCCCGAUUCUUGGCUUUUCUGCUCGCUAGCUGUGUUACCAUGGGUAAGGUCCCCAUCCUCAAUUUCUCCAUCUGCAAACUGAAGAUGAUGACUUCUUAGUGUUGUGGACUCAUGAGAUAACGCAUGUAAGCAAGGGCGCAGUAGGUAUAGCUUUCAUUAUUUAUGAGAGAAAAACCGCUUCCCAGGUAAGAGCACAGAGACCCUAGAAAACAGGCACUGAAAGAGCAUUUUGGUUGUGGCCGAGCGGAGACAUGUAGCAGAUAAAGCUGAAGUAAACUGCAGGUCUUAAAUUUUGCAGGGCCUCGUGGGGAGGUUGGUCUUGAUUCCUGUAGGUGUUAAGAACCAUGAAAGGGCUUUGAGCAGGGGGUUUUAUAAGGAUCACUCAGCUGCUGCGUGGAGAAUUUGGGGGCGAGGGGAGAGGGAGGGUUGUUGCUAAAGGUAGAAUGAUGCUUAAAUAUUGUCGUACUCGAGGGAAGGGAAUGGUGGUCUGGUUGGAAGGGUGAUGUUGGAGGUGGACAAUAGUGGAUGGCUUUAAAAGAACAAUUCUGAGGGAGGGGGAUAAUGUUCUCUAUUGAGUAACUGCGUGAAUGUUGGUACCUUUCAGAGAGUGAUAGGAAACGCUGAAUGGGUGGAAGCUAUAGCGCCAGACGUACAGUUUUGCCAGGAAGCACCUCUGGAUCAGAUGGCCUGUAUGAAGUUUUCCCAGAGGUUGCUGAGGGCACAUGAGAAUGUAGAAUGUAGCCACCAUUUUGUACACGUGCUCAAUAAGCUUCUAAUGAAUCAGCAGUUUAAUGACCAAGGACCAGAAGAAUGUGAACUUCCUGGUCAUGUAUUCCACCCACAUGAAGCAUAACAAGGAAGGCUUGAGGAUAAGAUGGAUUGCCUUGUGAUGCCUUAAGAGGCGCUCGCGUCUUAGCUCCCGUGGCAUUUUGAGCUCAUUACCCUGGGCUGUGUGUGAAAUGUGAUGGAAUUAAGGACCAAGAUAAAUCGGAUAUCCUGGCAUCGACCUUUGCUGUUUCUGAAACUGAGAAAAAAAGAUUUGGUGUGCCAAGUUUCCUCAUCAGUCUGGUAUUUCACCUCUCAUUUUAAAUAAGGAGAUCUUCAGUAGAAAAUAUCCAUUUCUUGUUGGUACAUUAUCCAGUUGAAUCUCUUUGUUGAGGGAAUUCAUUCAUUCAACAAAUAUUUAUUGAAAGCCUGCACCCACCAGGCAGUAUUUUAGGUGCUCAGGAUAAAGUAAUGAAUAAAACAUACCGAACAUGGAACAACUUGGAUGAAUCUUCAAGGAAUUCUGCUAUAUGAAAAGAGCCAGGGAAAUCUAAAUAGUUUGUGGAUUGAAUCAAUGUCAACAUCCUGUUUAUGAUAUUGUACUAAAAUAUUACCAUUGGGGGAAACUGUGUAAAGUCCAUGUAGGAUCUCUUGUAUUACUUCUUAGAACUGCACUUGAAUCUACAAUUUUACCAAAAUUUUAAAUUAAAAAAGAAAAAACCUCCUGACCUGAUGGAACUUACA